UUCUUUUAAUUCUAAAUUUUCUUCUUAUAAAUAUAAUUACAUCCGUUUAUUUCUUAACAAAUAAAAUAAAAACUGUUAACCUUUUCUUGUGGAGCCUCCAGUAUCAUCGUUCACCAGAUAAUGGAUGCCGUUGUGGACUCAUUGGACAAGGCAUAUAAAGAAUUUUUAACAGCACUAACCAUUGUGCUAGAGACGAGAGGGACUAAUGGUGGAGAAAAACCAGAAGGUGUGGAUCCAUAUCUUGAAAGUCUCCAAAAGCAUUUGGUAUCCUUUAAAGCUACUUGUGAUGAAGCACAAGCUUUUGUUGAGUAUUUGAAGCAUAGUUUAGGAUGUGAAAAGUUUCCAGAACAUGUGUCUUACAGUGAUCCUAUUCUUAUGAAGACCGAUAAUGAAAAACGUCAAAGACAUAUAUGAGCAUAUUAAAAUCUUAGAAGAUCGUUGAAACAUUUCAGACAAAUCGUUACAAAAUGCCAUUAGCCUAGCUAGAACAUAAUGGACCUUUUAGGGUCCAAUUUCACAUUACUUGUUUCUUUUUGAGAUUUUAGAAGUCAAUAAUGUCCACAUUAAUGUCAUAUGAUGUUUUUGAAUAUUUGACUAAAGAUAGUUUAUUA